GAUGAACGCUGGCGGCGUGCUUAACACAUGCCAGUCGAACGGUGAAGGCGGAGCUUGCUCUGCUGGUUCAGUGGCGAACGGGUGAGUAACACGUGAGCAAUCUGCCCCUGACUCUGGGAUAAGCGCUGGAAACGGCGUCUAAUACUGGAUACGAGCUGCGAAGGCAUCUUCAGCAGCUGGAAAGAAUUUCGGUCAGGGAUGAGCUCGCGGCCUAUCAGCUUGUUGGUGAGGUAAUGGCUCACCAAGGCGUCGACGGGUAGCCGGCCUGAGAGGGUGACCGGCCACACUGGGACUGAGACACGGCCCAGACUCCUACGGGAGGCAGCAGUGGGGAAUAUUGCACAAUGGGCGAAAGCCUGAUGCAGCAACGCCGCGUGAGGGACGACGGCCUUCGGGUUGUAAACCUCUUUUAGCAGGGAAGAAGCGAAAGUGACGGUACCUGCAGAAAAAGCGCCGGCUAACUACGUG
rnacentral:rRNA from 1 species